UUGAUAAGUUGGCGGCCACCAUGCCGACAUCUUCGCGAAGAGGGGAUAGAUUGACGUGUCAAGAAAUCGUUUCAAUUGCCAUGUCGUCUAGUAGGCAAUAUGAUUGUUGCUUGUGUACAC
rfam:Hordeum vulgare subsp. vulgare, WGS project CAJW01000000 data, contig: morex_contig_49025